GAUGAAGAACGUAGCGAAAUGCGAUAAGUAGUGUGAAUUGCAGAAUUCAGUGAAUCAUCGAAUCUUUGAACGCACAUUGCGCCCCUUGGUAUCCCGAGGGGCAUGCCUGUUCGAGCGUCAUUUCACCACUCAAGCCUGGCUUGGUGUUGGGCGCCGUCCUCUUUGGGGACGCGCCUCGAAACGCUCGGCGGCGUGGCACCGGCUUUAAGCGUAGCAGAAUCUUUCGCUUUGGAAGUCGGGGCCCCGUCUGCCGGAAGACCUGCUCGCAAGGUUGACCUCGGAUCAGGCAGGGAUACCCGCUGAACUUAAGCAUAUCAAUAAGCGGAGGA
rnacentral:misc_RNA from 1 species